GAUCAUCCAAGCUACAUAUUUCUAACAUCUCCCACACAAUGUUUCAUUCACCUGCUUCUUAUAUUGUAUCUUGUACUAAUGACGCUACGGCCUGAAGAUGGUAUUGCUUAACGUACCGAAAUCGAUAGCCUAUACAGAAAAAUAAAAACCUAUUAGCUCGA